AUACGGAGACUACGAGCGUUACUCGGAUUCACUGGGCGUAAAGGGAGCGCAGGCGGAAUGAUGUGUUAGGUGUGAAAUCCCGGGGCUUAACUCCGGAACUGCGCCUAAAACUGCUUUACUUGAGUCCUGGAUGGGGUAGUGGAAUUCCCAGUGUAGCGGUGAAAUGCGUAGAUAUUGGGAGGAACACCUGCGGCGAAGGCGGCUACCUGGACAGUGACUGACGCUGAGGCGCGAAAGCUAGGGGAGC
rnacentral:rRNA from 1 species